rnacentral:lncRNA from 1 species
ACAAAAGACCUUUGAAAGAAAGAGGCCAUUCAAAGCCCUUGAUCAGAUCAGCCUGCUUCACAGUAACCCUGACACAAGGCAUCUUGCAACCUGUCCUGCCUGCUCCCAACAAGAAGACUGAGAAACACUGGAAACGUAUUUCAGGCUGCCCUUGCAAUGAUAAAUGUGUCUCAGAAUAAAUCGCAAGUACAGGGCACAGUCCUAAUGCUCUUUCUCAAGUUCUGCCUUUUUGUCUUAGUUUUUAUUGCUGAUGCACUCAGCCACUGAAUAAUUUGUUUGUCCUUGUGACUGCUAGAAAACCACAGCGUGCUCCCCUGGGGACAACGCUCACAGAAGCUCACCACUCCAAUAGGAAUGCAGUGAAAGCAAACAAGUUUACCCUCAGGCCCUUAUCCAAAUUGCUUGCCUUAAGUAUUACCCCUUCUGGCAAGAAACAUACAGAUCCCUUUUUGGGAAAAAGGAAAACACCACUGCUGCUGGUGACAGCACUUGCGUGGAGGUCUCAGAGCUCUUGAUAGUGAGCUUUCUAGGUUUCUCUUUAUAACAUUACAAAUAAAUCUCAAGUAGCAGGCUGAAGAAGUCUUAGACUGUCCAGCAGGAGAGCUAUCUUGACAUUUUGGAAACUGAAAGCACAGACUGUACGGACAGAUAACAAUAGCAGCGAGCAAGUAGGUUAGAGGGAAUGUGCACAAAAGGCACGAGUUCCUUAUGCCCCUGCGAGAGAGAAAAUUCUCUAGGUGCUGCAUGGACUGCUGCAAGGGACAGUGGGAAUGGCUUGAACAACGAGCACAGUCAGUGCCAGAGCAGCUUCUGGGAUGAGACAAUUCUCAUUCAGUAUCUGACAGAUCCUGCAGCCAAACCAGAAGGGUAAAUGCCUUGCAGUGAAACCAGAAGGGUAAAUGCCUUGCAGUGCUGACUGACUACACAAUGGACAGAGUACUAAGAUGAUUAAGGGACUGGGCCAUCUCUCCUAUGAGGAAAGGCUGAGAGAGCUGCAUCUGUUCAGCGUGGAGAAGAGAAGACUGAGUAUAAGUAUCUGAAGGGAAGGUGUCAGGAGGAUGGGGCCAGACUCUUCUCAGUGGUGCCCAGUGACAGGACGAGAGGCAACGGGCACAAACUGAACCACAGGAAGUUCCAUCAGAGGAAAACAUGAGGAAAAACUUCUUUCUGUGAGGGUGACAGAGCACUGGAACAGGUUGCUCAAAGAGGUUGUGGAGUCUCCAUCCUUAGAGAUGUUCAAAAGACAUCUGGAUAGGAUGCUGGGCAACGUGCUCUAAGCGACCCUGCUUGAGCAGGGGGGUUGGACUAGAUGAUUUCCAGAGGUCCCUUCCGACCUCAACCAUUCUGUGAUUCUGUGGUACCAAUGAAACUGGCCCACCAAUUCCAUAUCUCAGCUUAAGUAAACAGAUUUCCAAUCACACUAAACUGUACAUGCUGUGGACACUGGGAAAGAAGCAAAGAUUAAUAGCACAUUCCCUCAAGCCUAGCAACACCAUUGACCACAGAACUCAUGCCUGGAAUAAACUACAGACUGAUGAACA